UACGUAGGCAGCAAGCGUUGUUCGGAAUUACUGGGCGUAAAGAGUGUGUAGGCGGUGUUCUAAGUUUGUCGUGAAAUCUCCCGGCUUAACUGGGAGGGUGCGGCGAAAACUGGAAUGCUAGAGGAUGGGAGAGGUAAGCGGAAUUCCUGGUGUAGCGGUGAAAUGCGUAGAUAUCAGGAGGAACACCUGUGGUGUAGACAGCUUCUGGACCAUUCUGACGCUGAGACACGAAAGCGUGGGUAGCAAACAGG
rnacentral:rRNA from 1 species